GGUUAAGCGACUAAGCGUACACGGUGGAUGCCCUGGCAGUCAGAGGCGAUGAAGGACGUGCUAAUCUGCGAUAAGCGUCGGUAAGGUGAUAUGAACCGUUAUAACCGGCGAUUUCCGAAUGGGGAAACCCAGUGUGAUUCGUCACACUAUCAUUACGUGAAUACAUAGCGUAAUGAAGCGAACCGGGGGAACUGAAACAUCUAAGUACCCCGAGGAAAA
rnacentral:rRNA from 1 species